UCCGUCAGCCCCUGUCAUCUAUGAAUGGGAAAUUAAUCAGCGCCAUUAGGGAGAAAACUCCCACUCGACACCACGGCCUUUCUUUCCCCUGAUUGUGAUUUCAUACCUUUUAUGUAAAGCAGACUUCAGAGCCUCCACCUAUUUAAGGAAUUUUUCAAUUAACAUUUCUUUUGCUCGAGAGAGACCAGGGCCUUUGGUUCUCCACAAAGGCUGGCUUUACUUUUCCUAUCACAAAUGUGCCCAGGUCAGUCCCCGCAGGCUGAGGGCCUAUUAUUUGGCAUUGAUGAUUUUGUUUAACCACCCCCCCUCCCCCUAAUCAAUAGCUGAUCAGUGCACAGCAGGGAAGUCUCUGCUUUAAAUCCGCUGCUCUUCAGACUAAAAUCGUCUCCUUUGAAUAAAAACCUGCCUCGGUUGAAUGUUAAAUCCAUCUAAUUGGCGGCGUUUUUAAAGAAAGCACAGAAAAGAGAUAUAAGGAAAACCACCACAACAAAAAUCUAUAAAAAGCUUCUUUUACUGUUGGUGGAAUCUUAUGCUUAUUUCCAAAUAUACAUUUUUUAUUGUCACAAUUUUUUUGAAUGUUUUAUUAAUUGAUCCUUUAAUGGAGUCAUCAUUUACUUCAAAUAAAAUCCUAUUGUAUUAAAUCUUUUACAGAUUUCAAAAUCUUCUACUAGAGUCUAAUUAAAUCUUCUAGCAAAGAUUUAAUAAGAACAGUGUCCAGUCUGACAAGCAAAAUUUAGUGGCGAAUUCAACUAAUUUUGCUGAAAAAUUCAUGGCAUUACUUUACAGGAAUGUCUAACAACUCCAUUCUGUGCUGAGGAUCUUUGGUCAGUCAUGUAUGUUUAAAACCACAGUCAGAACCAGCAGAACAAAGAGCAACUCAACAGGGAGACAGAUGAUCCUGCCACAAAGCCAGGGAGUUGAGGCAGUGGGCAGGGCGGCCACAGCCUCCCAGGCAGCCCUGCGCAGUCCUGGCGGCCAGAGACGGCCGGCAAGGAGGCUGCUGGGAAUGCACAGACGCUGCUGCGCUGAUUUCAGAGACCCAGAGGAUGGGAGAAAAGCAGCAUCUGAUGUUAAAGUGGAGGCAUUCCUUCCAUCCUUGACUCGGUCAACUUGAUUACGGAACCCUAACACAGGGUGAGCCUUCUGCCCUGGGAAGCUUGGUAAGUCCUAGUGGUCCUUUGAUACGCGAUUAUUCUCUGCACUUGAAGUAAGUGUGCUAGACUUUUUUUGUUCCCUGAAAGGGGCUUAUUUCUAAAGUAAUUUUGGAGUCCACUUAAUAUGCAGGGUAAACAAAUCUGCAAUUCUUUCUUAUUUCACUUUCUGUUUCUAUAGUGCACGUUACUGCAAUAUUUGCUUUCGUAAAACUGCGAUUUCAGCAUGAUACAUUAAAAAGGAGGGCAAAGGAUGCUCUUUUUGACAAAAGGAAAUCCACAGAAAAUCAAGAGUCAUUAAUAAAAUAAAGGCCUUUGUGUCUUCCAGUCACAGUGUCUGCUGUGUGUUCUGUGUGGGGAGGGCUUGGGAGUCCUUCCCUGGUGUGGCAUCAACCACAGGUAACAUUGGCACCUUGCAUUUGCCAGGCAGUGCACUGAACACCCUAUGAGCUGAAUCUUCACAUCAGCCUGUGAGACAGGUCCUGCUGCAGAGGAGCUCGGGCUUAGAGAGAGAACACGCGAGGCCGAGUCCACAGCGGCACUUGGCAGGGUUUGGACUCAAGUCCAGACUGUCUCUCUCUGGCCUGGGCUGGUGACCCGCACUGUCUUCUCUCCUCACUCUGAGGAGAGCCUCACUCUGUGGACACCGCAGACACCUGCUCACCCUUCCGAUUGGCUCUCUGUGAACAUUGUAGAUACUACCUAUCCUUCUGAUUGGCUCUCUGGAUGCUGCGGUCACCUGCCCACCCUUCCAAUUGGCCUUCUGUGGAUGUUGUGGAUGCCUGCUCACCCUUCUGAUUGGCUCUCUGUGGACACUGUGGACACCUGCCCACCCUUCCGAUUGGCUUUCUGUGGACUUUGUGAACACCUGCUCACUCUUUCAGUUGGCUCUCUGUGGAGAUUGCAGACACCUGUCCACUCUUCCGACUGGUUCUCUGUGGACAGUGCGGACACCUGCCCACCCUUCCAAUUGGCUGUCGGAAGCUCUGACUGUUCCCUCACAUGAAAUGAUGUCAUCAUGGAAUUGGAAAACAGCCCUGAACCCACAGAUGGUGUUUUGAAAGAAACCAGGGAUUGAUUUUCAUGUUGUAUCUAAAAUGCAGGCCUGGUGCAGUGGCUCACACUUGAAAUCCCAGCACUUUGGGAGGCCGAGGCGGGCGGAUCACUUGAGCUCAGGAGUUCAGGACCAGCCUGGACAACAUGGUGAAGCCCUGUCUCUACUAAAAAUGCAAAAAAAUUAGCUGGACGUGGUGGGGGUGCCUGUAAUCCCAGCUACUCGGGAGGCUGAGGUAAGACAAUCGCUUGAGCCUGGGAGGCGGAGGUUGCACUCCAGCCUGGGUGACAGAGCGAGACUCUGUCUUAAAAACGUAAAAAAAAAGAUAAAAAUAAAUAAAAUGCAAGCCUCUCCUGGCUGAUGUGCAGCUGCAGAAGCUGCGUGGCUGCUCCUGGUCGAGGUGCUCACCAGGUGAGAAGAGCCUUCCCAGCGCAGGAAGCAGAGAGGAGAAGGCUCGGACCCCAGGAUGGAAAGGGCCAGAGGUGACUCUAAGUCCUCAUAUUUCCAUUGAAGAAACUCCAAAAGGUGGCUGGAUGCAAGAGCUGACUCACAGAUCUGAAAUGUCAGAUGUAUAAGUUUGGGUCAAAACUCUGAAGAUGUGAGUCAGCUGUUUGGAUGAUAACACGGUUAUUUUAUAGGACAGACAUUAUGCCUAAACAUUAGUGAAAACAGCGGGGCCUGCAUGGGGCCUUCCAGCGUGGGGAGCCGCUGGUCCCACCAGCCCCUGCCCUCAUCCCCCCCACCCAGGGUGGGGGUCUCUCGGGACACCGUGGGAGCUGAGACCUUGUCCUCGGACCCUCGGGCCACAGUGCAGCUCUCUGGGUGGAGGAGGCGGCAACUGACCAGGCCUUCGUUUCUCAGAUUUUUUUCUGUGACAGGGACUUAAUAACACCUCUUGGUGUGGCUUUCACACAAGGGUCGCAGAGCUCUCCCAUUAAUUAAUUAGCUUGUUACCCCUUCUGAAUUAUUUCUGGCAGGCAGGCAGCACACAGCCUCUCACGCGCCCUGACACCGACCCCAGACUUGCUCUGGCCGUGGCGCUGUCAGUGGCGCAGGCUCUCCCCGGGCUUGGCUCACCCUUCUGUUCAGAUGGGACAACCAGGCAGUCCUCCAUGGGGCUGCUGUGGACUUGGUCAAGUGGGAACGUAGUUUCAGCGUUAGGAACAGCCUAAAAAGUGACCAGGUCCAACUCCCUAAGUCCGUAGACAAGGAUGCUGUUUUCCAGGAACUCCCUAAGUCUGUAGACAGGGAUGCUGUUUUCCAGGGCAGUCCAGCAAAUUGCUGAGCUUUGUCUGGCCAUUUGGUCAGGGCUGAGCUAACGCCAGUGGUGUCAGCAGCCUUCCCUGGGCCAAAUCUCAGCACUCCCGACCCCACGGCAUGUUCAGGCAUGUCAGCGUUUGGAGCUUAAGAGCCAGAGGAAUGUGAUUCAAAGGAGAGAGAAAUCACCAGAAAGUGACUCUUGCUGUCACUGUUCAGGAGCAAACCCUUUCUUCAGACGCACAGAACUGCAUCUCACAGAGUCAAAUCCUGCAAGUUACAGAGCUGGCCUGGGAGGCCACACGAGGGAGGAACAGCUGUGGCUCUUCUGGUCCAUCACCCUUACCUGGAAAGGCGACCUGGGGCCCCGCACUAUCUGGGGUGGGGAGGAAAAAGGGGCACGUGGAGAGAGGAGCGACGGCAAAGCCCGGCUUCGUGUAGGGCUCUGGGAGCACUGGCUUUGCAGGGCUCACACAUCGUACCCAGGAGGAGAGAAGCCCAGGAGAAGCAGCCACCACAGGGGAUCGAGCGGUGCUGAUUGUUGUUAUUUUUUAAUUCCCAAGGGUCUGUCACUCACCAGAGGUGCCAACCAGCAGCCUGUUGGCCAAGUGGGAAUGGACUUCUGUGCUUGUGUCCUGAACACAGUGUAGGAGACACAAAACAGCAGUUUAGCGGCUGGACGUUAGGCCUCAAUAACGAGGAGAGAACUAAGAUGCAAUGAAUAAAGAUGAGUGGUGAGAGGCCCCCAGCGGCCCAGCCUCCCAUCACCUGUGUCCUCUGCAUCGAGCUGUGGGAGGGACUUGGCAGCAGCAUUUGUGUCCUUCUGCUCUCUCUAUGGCUUCCCCUUAGAAGCAAGCUCUGUCUUCAAACACGCAGGGGGCAUUUCACAUUGGAUCCUGGGAGCCACGGCCAGGCCAGGCCUCCCCCGUGCCCGCUUCUGUGGGUGGUGUCUCUGGGUGAGUGAGUGGGAUGAAGGUCUGCAGGCUCAUUCUGGGUUCCAACGGGACUAAGUGAUCCCAGGGAAAUAGAACCUGGCGUGGCUGGAGGAACUGCCACUUUGAUAAAGAAGAGACACGUCUAUAAUCUCAUGGGACCCACAUGCAACACCAGCUGCUCCCCCAGAGUCCUGCAAACACUCCAGUAUUCCAGACUCCACCCUCCUUCCCUAGCCGGGCAGUGUGCUUGGACAACUGGGCAACCAUGUGUCUCCCUCAAAAUACUUGUCGUGUAACUCAGAGUUCAUGGCCUUCAUCACGAAAAUGCAAUGCACUUCACUCCAACCUGAAUACAGUUUAUUCUAGACACACAAAAUGACGUGAUUUCUCAGCCAGAUUUGCAGGCUGACAGGGCUGCAAGGCCCCCACGCAGGUCCUGGGCUCCUCGUAGGCUGGCACACACUCCCACUGAGGGUGCCAAGUGUGCCAUCUACAAAUAGCUCUGAAGAAGCCGGGAUUUAGUCAGUUGCCUUUUCACCCAUGUGUUUCGUCUGGGUGCAAAGCCACCCGCCUGGGUCCCUCCAGCCCCUCAAGACCCACUCAGCCCACUUGGCACGUGCAGGGCCCUGUCUGGCAUCAAGAUAUGAAUCUCGGCAUCGGAGCUGCCUCGUUUUCCAGGAUCGGGCCAAAGCACACUCGGCGCCCACACUCGCACGCUGGCUGGCACAAAGCUGGGGGGUGCAGCGGAGCCUCGAGGGGUUGUUCUUGCGGCCAUCAGGGACCACCAGCUGUAGAGCUUGAGCUACCACCUCCAGUGCCCUGGAAUGCUGGCUUCCAAUCAGGUGUCACUUGCCCUGCUGUCAUUUGAUUCCCUGCGGCUGCAAGACUUACUCGUUGUGGUGUGACUGACUUUCCACAGCCGUCUGAUUGAGUCCCCGAGGCCGUGUGACUGACUCCCUAUGGCUGUGUGACUGACUCUCCACGGCCGUGUGGCUCUCCGUGGCGGUGUGACUCCCUAUGGCUGUGUGACUGAUGCUCUGCAGCUGUGUGACUGAUGCUCCGUGGCUGUGUGACUCUCCCCGGCCUUGUAACUCACUCCUCGUGGCACUGUGAGUGGCCGUGGCUCCUUUUGCUCCUGGGUGUCCCUGAGUCCCUGGGCUGAUGGGGCAAAACUGCCCUGCUGGGCGGGACACCUCUCUUUCCACUAUGUGGCCCCAGGGAGGGUUUUACACAUCCUCCUCCUGGCUGCAGUGACCCACACCAGGGCAGGCGGAGCACAGCCAGGUUCCUGAGACCAGAGCUGCCGGCCCUCAGGGUCUGGAAGCUUCCAGAACAAACACAGCAGCAGCAACUAGGCCCAUAUUUUUAAGGUCUCUGUCCUAUCAGGGCAUUUGGCUCCUGAACAGAAUUUGCUGGGAAGUGAGCAAGAUAACCGGAACCCUCUUCCGUGUCCCUAGGGAAAACUCCUUCACAUUCUCUCAGCGUGUUUAUUUCUCCGAAGCAGAAGACCUAUGUGGCGUUGCAAUUCAGGCUGAGAAGCAUCGAGUGCGGCGAGUGUGGGGUGGCGGUGACAAUACGCCGAGCCCUGGUGCCCCGAUGUCUCAGUGACAGAUCCCACACUCAGGAGGCCACGGGACACGGCUGCUGGCUUCACUGCCUUUCCUGGUUCCCACUCGGCUAGAAGCAGAAAUCUCCAAGAGCUAUAAGGUUCCAUUCUUGUGGUAUUUUCAGCCUCUUCCCUGGCUAUGGUAAAAUUUCCAGGUUUGGGCCAAGGUCUGGGAGCCCAAAGCCAUGAGUGCUGGGGAGGGCUGGACAGCUGCGUGGGAUUCCACGUCCUGCCUGUCACUUCUCUGUUAUCCAGCAGGGCAGGGGAGGCCUGGUUCAGAGGGAGUUAGAAUAAAUGUUAGGUAAGAUGAACGAUUUCCAAAGGAUUGCGACUCACCUGACAAUCCACUCACUUGCCUCCUUUCUGGGUGAGUGAUCAGAUACCGGCACUGCCGCGUGGCCUCCUCCAUGGUUUCCCUGCCGGCCGUCUGCAGCCCGGGUGUGCCAAGGGCAAGGAUAGCUGAGGGAGCAGAACAUUCACCCUCGGAUGGCCCUGAGCACUUCCAGGCACUUUGUGCGAGGUCUGCAGACCAUGCUGGCUGGAGCGGACCCCUCGCUGUGUGGAGAAGCCGCCUCACCUCCCCGAGCCCCUGGACCAGAGAGUGUUACCAACCCCUAUUCCUUCCCUGAAAAAGUGUGGCGGUGAAUGUUUGUCAUGGACUCUGCAACGCUCCUGGGUGCAUGCAUUUUCUGAAUGUUUUGUUACAUGUUUUUCAGGACAGUUGAGGGCUGAGGGCACAUUAGCACUGACUUGCUGUGCACGGGGGUGGAUGACCAGGCCUCCUGCUCUGGGGGCUCAUUGGAGGGAGCUGAGGGUCUGGGGGACACCUUCAGCGUCCGCAUCAGUGGCUUCCUCUGUGAGUGGCUGAGAGUGAGGUGGGAGGCUCAGCUGCAGGAGGUGUGUUAUCCACCGGGACCUGAUCAGCUUGAGCUCUUGGGGUUUACCCACUUACGAGAAGCAAAUUUUCCCUCAACAGCUUCAUUCUUACUAGCUCUGAAGUGUGUGGCAGCUUUUAUCAUGGAAGUCAGCGUGCUAGAAAUUAACAAGAAAACGUGCCAAGAAGUGUGGUUGGUGACGAGGGGGUGAGAGCCUGGCGCGUGGGUGAGGAGAGGGUGAGAGCCUGGUGCACAGCCAGUGCGGGAGCCCCCUGCAUCUGUCCCCUUGCUCCAAUGACAGCUCCCGUGGGGAACAAAGCUCGAAGCCUCUCUCCUCGGCAACACAGGGCAGAAUUUGUCCCUUGUUUGGUUUUUGUGGCCACUGCCCUGGGCCUCCCUACCCUCUGCUUCGCACGAGGUCCUGGUCUUCCGCCCUUAGCUGGCCUCUGCUCCUCCUCCUGCAACUCCUGCUCCCUGGGACUCUGAGGUCCAUGUCGCCCUUGGCUCCUCACUCUCCUGCUGUCCUUGACACCUGGUGUCUUAGUCUUCACACACACGCAAGAACACACAUGCACAGGUGUACAUCUUCCCACAGUGCAAGUCGUUCUCUCUGUCCAAGAUGGAGAAGACAUGAGAAUGAACUUUAGCCAGGCUCUCCCCAGGAUCUCUGUCGUGGGCUCCAAAGCCCCUGGAAUGAGACGGAGAAAGAGCCGCUGGCGCUGGCAGCAGCUCGGCCCUAAUGACCAGAUGGCCACACUCACCGCCACGCACGCCAGGCAUUGCUGUGGCCUGCCCUGGAAACUGCCUGGGCUGGCGUCUCCUUGCCCCUCCAAGACAGCGUGCCAGCCAGCACCCCCUGGGGAACAAAGCAAAGGGGAAACCCAGGGCCCUGGGCCGGGCACAGGCAGGCUGCCUCCUGCGUGCUCAGGGCUGAGUCACCGGCACUAGCCCAGCCUGGGGGCCGCUGACCACUGCUCUCUGCAAGUUUUGAUGUGAUGUUCAACUCAAUCCCAGUAAGUGCUGAGAACCAGGCAGCUGUUGGUGCCUCAGUCUCACAGGGGGCAGGGACCAAAGCCCCUGCAGCUCCUGAGGGAGAAGAGCUGAGGCCACGCAGCAAGGAUCAGGGCGAAGCCACCAGGCAGGAUGCACCCCAGCUUGGUAAUGUGUGGCCGUUCUGAUGCCUUCGCUGCUGGUUACAGGAACUCGAGAUGGAAAACCUGCUGGAGUGUCCCAGCAGUCCCCCGGCAAAUGCAGACUACGUCACGUGUAAAUAAAAGCCAUGCAUUCUGAGGACGAGGGAGGGGCCCCAGAGCUCCUUAGAAUCCCAUUCUGGUUCUGACUCCUUUGAUGGCUCUUCUCAGGCCUUCAUCAGGAUUGAGAUCACAUCCCUCAGCUCUUCCCACCAUUUUUCUUUAGCCUUCACUAAAAAUUGCACUUUAAUUUUUUUUUUUUUUUGAGGUGGAGUCUUGCUCUGUUGCCCAGGCUGGACUACAGUGGCUCGAUCUCAGCUCACUUGGUCUCCCGGGUACAGGCGAUUCUCCUGCCUCAGCCUCCCAAGUAGCUGGAACUACAGGUGCGCACCACCACACCUGGCUAAUUUUGUAUUUUUAGUACAGACGGGGUUUUGCCAUGUGGGCCAGGCUGAUCUCAAACUCCCGACCUCAGGUGAUCUGCCCACCUUGGCCUCUCAAAGUGCUGGGAAUACAGGCAUGAGCCACCGUGCCCAACCUUAAAUUUCUAAAGAAAGCUUUGUGUUGUCAAAAUCUGUUUGCUAUAAGACAAAUGGAAGGGGGCGUGAUUUUAGGAGGUCGGCACAGGACCCCACCAACCACCCUGGUCUGCCUGGCACAGAGGCCUCGCUCCAGGACACAGGACUUCCGGGGCUACACCAAGGGGAAGUCCUGGGCAUAUCCAGAGCAGGGGGCCCCAGGUCAGGCCCACACACAGGCAGGAGAGAGCAGUGGGCACAGGCCCUGCAGAUUCCGCAGUCGAGGACACCAGUCCCUACACUGCUGACCACGUGGGGAAAGUACUCCUUAUAAGGCAAAAGAAAAAAAGCCUUGGGUGUUGUUGAAAAACACAAACCACCGUUCACAGUGUGAGGUGGAAACCAGCGGAACAUGGAGCACCUGUCUUCCUGGUGGGCGUCUUGGGGGAUAAAGUGUCUUGGUGCCCCUCGUGGGACUCAGUGAACCUUCUCUUAGGAAUUACCAAACACGGCUGAAAUCUACUUGUAUUUUUAUCCGAACUGACUAACAGCGGCCAAAUAUGUUUAAUGUAGUGACGAGAGCAGUGAGAACUGCAGGUGGCAUCUUGGAAGGGCUCCUCUUCCAGCCUCCUUUGCUUGGCAUGUCAACAAAGAACACGCGGUCGCCUGCAUCUGCAAACAGCACAUUCUUGCCAGGUCAUGAUAAUAUUGCAAAAGUUGUUGGGGUGCCAAGACGGGGAGGGCAUGACGGUUAGAUUCCAUCAGGCAAGUGUGAGCUCGCUGGAGAUUUAGAAAGAAGGCUUAUGAAAGAUAUUCAAAUCUGAUUGUUCAGAUCACGAUUCCUCCUGCAGUACCGGGCAUUCACUGAUGUGAGCGGGCCUCUCACUUGACAAUACUCGGAAGGCAGGGGUGAAGGCUACAAGCGGACGAGGCCAGCAUCUAGCAUCCAGCGUCCAGUGAACUUACUGGGGCAGGGCUGUGGGGAUGGUGAGACUGGAGGUGGAGCUGCACAGACAGCAGGGCUGACCUCAGAGCACGUGAUGCGUCGUGCUUUUCCCGUGUGAGGUGACAGCGCUGGCCCUGAGGACGGUCGCUUUCAGCUCUAAGCAUUAAGAAUCCGGCAUUUCUAAUGCUAACAGCACUAACCGGUUCACAUGGAUAUUAUGCUGCGCUGUGGAGGUGGUGGCCAUGAGCUGGGUUUUCCGGCAAACAAUGGCUGGUUGGGAGAAACAUGAUCUAGGUGUCCCUAAGGGAGCCGUUCUCUAUCUGGAAGAACGUGAUAAAAGACUAAAUUUAAGAAGUAAACUAUGUUUACGAAGUCCAUUCAGUUCAGGAGUCCAAAAAACUGCAUGUAAGACCUGUUUGACCUCAGCAAUGUCCUUAGCGGGUUGGGUGAAGGCAGAGGAAGCCCGCUAGGCUGUGGUUGUGCAACACAGUGGCACAUGUGUGUCAGCCCUGCCCGUCCCACAGCACAGUGGGGCCAGGCACCUCUUCUCCUCCUCCAGGCUCUGGUACCUUGGCAAGAGUGCUGGGCUGGGCUGGGCAGCUCCAAACCAGGUAAAUGCUGGUGUGUGCCUGGAAGUGGGAGUGACUCGUGCUUCCCGGAAUGGCUCGAGGGCUGAUGGUCAGUGUGCGUGAAUCAGCUCUUAAAUGCCAGCACAGGAACAGCUGCAAAUCCUUCUGAUGAGGAAACGACUCCUGUGAUUGCUGGACCCUCGGUCGGUUCCCAUGGCGUCCAGGCAUGGCACUCACAGAGGCAUCUUGACAUGGCCCCGCCACAGCAUCCAGUGCGGCCUAGGAUUCUUCUGGAAGAAGUGGUCUGUUUGAUUCCAACAGCAGUGACAGCCCAGCUCCUGUUACAGAAGUGGAAAACCAAAUCUGCCACCAGGGACUGGCGUGUGAAUUAAACAUCCACUUGGAAACCGUAUGCCCCACAGAAAGCCAAACCCGAUCCCCACUCCUCUUGGGACAUGAGAAAGGGAGGCCGCCGGGUGAAGCUGGAGAAGGGGUGGUCUGUGGAGGUCUCCCUUUGUGGAGCAGAGACCUUUGUUGCCACCUGAGGUAUGCAGGUCAGGAAUGCUGGUCUCAGGGCCCUCAGAGGGGACUCGGGAGAGGGGCUCGAGGAAAGCCAUAUGGUGGGGGUUACCUCGAACCCAUCUCCCAUUCCCACACUCUCCUAGAAUAGCUGCCUGCCCCAGGAAGUGGGCUUUUCUGCCAACUUUUCUUAUUAGCAGAGAACAGGCCCACACAAAUGCAAAAUAAAUAAGCGGCGACUCAUUUUUGGUUGAAAUCUCAUUGAUCACAGAGCAGCCUGCAUCCAGGAGCUGCUAGGCCAGGGUUUCUGACUUUUCUGCUGAGUGGUCACAGCCUGGGGCAUCGUCUUCACCAGGCUCUGCUUUCCUGAUGAGAGUGUCAGGUGCCAGCCAUCCUGGUUAGCGGGGCUGUGCUGGGGGGUGCACACUUCUCAGGCACCAAAUACACCCAGUGAAAAUGUGCCACCCGCCUGCGCCUCCUGUGGCCUUCAUCCCUGUGCCACUCCUGCAGGGACCCACAGCCUCUGU
rnacentral:lncRNA from 10 species